GGCACAUAGAAACCCACUCAGCUGUGAAGCUAGAUAAGUAGUGAAGGAAGUUAUGAAGCUGCACCGUGAGAACCGGCUUUCUCAAGUAGAACUUAAUUCCUCCUUACCUUUUGCACCGAGGUGAUGGCCCACUCCCAGCCCUCCAUCCCUGCUCUGUUUUCCUUCUUUCUUCACCAUCUUCAGCAUCAGAGAACCCAGAAAGUUUGGUUAGCUACAUGCAAGCGCAGGGGCAGGAACAGAGGUGAAGGAGCCUUUCUUCUACCCACAGAUGGUCCAAGCUGCUAGAGAAGAAAGGAGUGGGAAGAGAAAUCAAGAUGUGUCCUCUGAUUCCAUCCCACACGAUUUGCUUAUUCAAUGUAUUGAUUACAUAAAAUUACACAUGACACAAAUGCCUGGCAGUGGGACUUUAAUUGUGAGCAGAGGAAACACCCUAUGUGAUGUAGGAAAAAAAUUUGAGAUUCAAAGUCAAAGACCAAAGUUCUACUUCUGGCUCCUCUACCUAGAAGCUGGAAAAAUACUCUGGCAGCCUCAAUACUUCAUCUAUAAAGGUAGUAAGAUUAUGCAGCUUCAUCCACCUCCACAUUCAUCCACCUUCCUCAACCUCCUCCACAACCUCCCCAAAGUGGCUUUGGAGGCCAAAGAUGCAAUGGAAUGAGUGAGAAACAGAAAAGCUCUGGUUUCAUGCUGAUGGGGAUAACAGCCCAAAAAGAAGAAAAAGAAAGAAAAUAAGAAAAGAAAAGAAUGAAAAUAAGAUUAUAAGUAUAAAAUCCAAAAUAACAGUAGAAAUAAAUUAAUUCUAAAUUUUCUGUAUUAGUCACCUUCCCAUUGCUGGUAUAAGAUACCUGAUACUUACAAUUUAAAGGAAGAGAGGUUUAUUUUGGCUCACAGUUUCAGUGGGUUUAGUUGGUAGCUCCAAGGCAGAAAUGGUGUCUUAGUUACUUCUCUCUCAUUGCUGAGACAAAAUACUCGACACCCAAAAUUAAAGGGGGAAGUGUUUAUUUAGCUCACAGUUUGUAGAGGUUUCAGUCCAUAAUCAGCUGGCUGCAAGGCAGAGAGGCAAGGCAGACAGUCACAACAGAGGAGAAACAGUUCAUGGUGGGCAGAAGGUAACAAAGUAACAAGGGACAACCACAGCUCUUUCUAUCUUUUAUAUCUUAUCCAGGCUACUUAAGGUGGAUAGUACUCACACUCUUAAUCCUAGUGCCCUUGAUCCUAGCAUUGCACCAUGAAUCAAU
rnacentral:lncRNA from 1 species